CGGAGGGUGCAAGCGUUAUCCGGAUUCACUGGGUUUAAAGGGUGUGUAGGCGGGCAUUUAAGUCAGUGGUGAAAUCUCCGAGCUCAACUCGGAAACUGCCAUUGAUACUAUUUGUCUUGAAUAUCGUUGAGGUUGGCGGAAUAUAUCAUGUAGCGGUGAAAUGCUUAGAUAUGAUAUAGAACACCGAUUGCGAAGGCAGCUAACUAAGCGAUGAUUGACGCUGAGGCACGAAAGCGUGGGGAUCAAACAGGAUUAGAUACCCUGGUAGUCCACGCCCUAAACGAUGAUUACUCGACAUACGCGAUACACAGUGUGUGUCUGAGCGAAAGCAUUAAGUAAUCCACCUGGGAAGUACGUCCGCAAGGAUG
rnacentral:rRNA from 1 species